rnacentral:rRNA from 1 species
UACGUAGGGUGCAAGCGUUGUCCGGAAUUAUUGGGCGUAAAGAGCUCGUAGGCGGUCUGUCGCGUCGGCUGUGAAAAACUCGGGGGCUCAACUCCGAGCUUGCAGUCGAUACGGGCAGGCUAGAGUUCGGCAGGGGGAGACUGGAAUUCCUGGUGUAGCGGUGAAAAUGCGCAGAUAUCAGGAGGAACACCGGUGGCGAAGGCGGGGUCUCUGGGCCGACACUGACACUGAGGAGCGAAAGCGUGGGGAGCGAACAGG